GACGAACGCUGGCGGCGUGCCUAAUACAUGCAAGUCGAACGCAGUGGGGACGGGUGAGUAACACGUGGGUAACCUCCCAUCAGAGGGGAUAACACUUGGAAACAGGUGCUAAACCGAUAUUGAUGGCUGGACCCGCGGUGCAUUGGCCAGUUGGUGAGGUAACGUCUCACCAAGGCCAGGAUGCAUAGCCGUCCUGCUCGGGGUAUCGGCCAGCCUGUGACUGAGACACGGCCCAUACGCCUACGGUAGCCAGCAGUAGGGAAGCUUCGGCAAGUGACGAAAGUCUGACCGAGUAACGUCGCGUUAGUGAAGAAGGUUUUCGGAUCGUAAAACUCUGUUGUUAGAGAAGCGUUAUCUACCCAGAAAGCCACGGCUAACUACGUGCCAGCCGCCGCGGUAAUUC
rnacentral:rRNA from 1 species